GCCGGUAGCCAUAUCACCCUGUAGCCCAAGCCUGGUCGCCCACUGAAGCUAAACAGGGCUGAGCCUGGUCAGUACCUGGAUGGGAGACCUCCUGGGAAAACUAGGUUGCUGCUGGAA
ensembl:rRNA 5S_rRNA 5S ribosomal RNA